UUGAACGCUGGCGGCAGGCCUAACACAUGCAAGUCGAGCGGAUGAAGGGAGCUUGCUCCUGGAUUCAGCGGCGGACGGGUGAGUAAUGCCUAGGAAUCUGCCUGGUAGUGGGGGAUAACGUCCGGAAACGGGCGCUAAUACCGCAUACGUCCUGAGGGAGAAAGUGGGGGAUCUUCGGACCUCACGCUAUCAGAUGAGCCUAGGUCGGAUUAGCUAGUUGGUGGGGUAAAGGCCUACCAAGGCGACGAUCCGUAACCGGUCUGAGAGGAUGAUCAGUCACACUGGAACUGAGACACGGUCCAGACUCCUACGGGAGGCAGCAGUGGGGAAUAUUGGACAAUGGGCGAAAGCCUGAUCCAGCCAUGCCGCGUGUGUGAAGAAGGUCUUCGGAUUGUAAAGCACUUUAAGUUGGGAGGAAGGGCAGUAAGUUAAUACCUUGCUGUUUUGACGUUACCAACAGAAUAAGCACCGGCUAACUUCGUG
rnacentral:rRNA from 1 species